GCAAGUGUAACAAAAUCGGAAUCAUUAGAAUGAGGAAGAAAGAAAAGGUCCGAAACAUCUUCCAUUAAGAUAUAUGUAAAUACAUUUGGUGUAACAUAACUAUACCGGAUUACAAAAAAUAAGUACAAUGGAACAAAAAAUCGAGUACAUUCAGUACAUUUUAGGGAAUAUGCAUUUGAAAGAGGAAAGGCCACACAAAGUAUGAAAAUGAAAUACAAGAUGAGGGACCAAACAACUCUUCAAACAUCCACAUAUAAUGUGAAUGAAAAUAACACCAAUUGCUCAAACUUCAAAUUAACGACAGUUAAUCAACAAUAAUCCAUGAAGUCACCACUAAUCAAAGCAAGAACAAAAUAAAAAACAUAACCAUAAAUUAAAAUAUCGGUUGCAGUUAAAUCUCAUUCCGAAGUGACAAAGUGGUGCAUCCUCGCAUUGAAGACAAGGUGAUAUCAAACUCUCAACACAUACUUCUGGUUUCUGUAUUCAAACUUAGUAAACUUAAAAGUUCCAUUCUUGGAAUCGUAAACAACCAAAUUCCAUUUGCCAUUUCCAAUACACUGCAACAGUACUUUGUCAUCCUCAAAUGUAUAUAAAACCUUGAUCAACAUAUAUGAUUUACCAUGAUCUUGCAUGUUAGAAAGAGUGAACAAUUUAGUCCAAGACUCUUGAAUUCCAUAUUCCUUCAUGAUCCAAAACAUCAUUACCAGAAAUUUUCCACUCUGUCUAGUAGAUACAACACCAAAAAGACGUUCCUGAAUGCUUUUCCAAAAAUAGGUACCCAAGAUAUGAACGUCCACAUCAGUUUUGAAGAUUACCGAGGUUCGAACCCGGAGCUAAGCUCACGAGGGACUCACAAAUAAGUUCUGUUAUAACGAGUUAGGGAUUAAAGUCCGCACAAAAAUAAUGGAAAACAAACUUUUUUGAGAUUACCUUCCUUCUUUUCCAUCCAUAUCAAAACAUAUUAUGGCAGCACCUUUUACUUUUUUUCACAUUUUUUAAGAAAGGUAGUUAGUGCAAUUAAUGUCUAUUUUGUAUGUUAAUAUUACCAAAUUUUCCUUUGUUUGUAUGUAUUAAAUUUGAGUUUACAUAUUUCAAGACAAGUUAGUAGCAUUAAUUAAAAGUAUGUUUAUGAAAAAAAUAAUAAAUGAAUCUAGUAAUUUGAAAAGAGGUUUAUAUUUAAUAACAAAUUUUUAGUCAAAUGUGUUUUUUUUUUUGUGGUGGCUGGGGUUUGAACCCCGGACCUUGCAACUGAGCUAAGCUCACGAGGACAGUCAAAUGAGUGUUUACAUAUAGGGACAGAGCGAGAGGGAGUAUAUUUGUUAGGCAUUUAUAUGGAUAAUACAUAAACUAUGUUUUGGAGUCUAGAUGUAAUAUGUAUCAAUCUCAUAUAAAUAAUUUUUUUAAUGGCAAAUAUUAGUACUUAUUUGUUAGAUUAAUAUUUUACUCUUUGCUCGGGUUUGAACCUAAGAACUUUAAAUUCUUUUCACUUAGCUCUAGCUCAAACCAGUUGAACUAUUCAACCUUUACUUGCAGUGUAUUAAUCGUUGCUGGAUGACAUUUUUGCUGAAUAACAGAUUCCUAAUCCCCUUUUAAUAGCCAGAAGUUACAAUCCUGGUAUUAAGCUAUAAUGAUUAGUGGCUUUCAUGGAUUGUUUCCUCAUUGAGUAGGGACUCGGCAUAUUAUAGCAUAGUUAAGAUUAAUUGAAUCUGUUGACAUGCACAUCAGAAGAAUGAUCUACAUUUUGUCCAAUCUGUUGACUCACAUCUCCAGUCUGUGGUUUUGUCAACAUGUUGCUUGUUUUAAAUCCCACCAUCCAUAUCAAACAUAACAACCCUCAUUGAUCUUGAGCUAAGUGGGAAUUUCCUCGCAAGUCAAAUUCCUUCAGAGCUUGGAUUGUUGAAAAACUUGCAACAGCUUGAACAUUGCUAUAACAGCCAUGUCGGUAACAUCCGUGAGGAGCUUCAAAAUCUCACCAAGCUUGUCGAUUUGUAUAUGUCAGUGAACUAUCCUUUCUUCUGUUUGCAGCCUUCCUAUGUUUCAUGUUUUACAUGUUUCGUAUCAGUAACAACCGUUUAGAAGGUUUGGUUCCAAAGUGACUCUUAAGUUUACCACAUUUCAAUCAUAGUAACAGUUUGACCAGUCCAAUUCUUGAGAUUUCUAGAAACUUUUUCAACUUUAACUUCAAGUGAGCAAAAUUUCAAGACAUAUAACUCCGACAAUCUCUUGAGCUAUUAGCCUUGUCGAAAUUGAUUUCAGUUAUAAAUUUCUCUAUGGUCCAAUCCCUUCAUAAAUUGGUAACCUUAGAAAACUUAAUUUGCUUGUGUUACAAGGGAACAAGCUGGUUCAUUCUUCUUUAGAGUUACUCAACCUUCUUGAUCUUUCCAACAAUCUCUUAACUGAGAACAUCCCCAAAAGCCUCUCUGUGUCGUUGUCUAAUUCCGUUAACUAUCACACUACCUUUUUUCUGUUCCAAUUCCUCCAAAAUUGAUCAAAGGAGGUUUGGUUUAUGAGUGAUGAUGUCAGUGUAUGCUAAUUCAUCUGAUAAAAAAAAAAAAAUUCUAUUAUGCUCACAUGGUCACAAGAGUAAGAAAGUUAACACUAUUUGGGUAGCUGGUGUAUUUGGUGUUUUGUUUUUUGUAGGAGUUGCUUUGUUCUUGGUGAAACAAAGACGCAGCUGUGGUCGAACAUGAGGAUACACUCUCUUCAUCAUGUUAUACUGUUAUUCCUUACAAGUUUGGACUGUAGCUUCUUGGUUACCUAGCCCGAGGUAAAUAAAUUCGCAGCAUAAUUUAUAUAGAGUGAUCAUCAUUCAAGUAUGGACAAAGAAUUCAAUCAAUGUAAGUUGUCAUAAUUUGAUAACGCCUUUCAUUUUGAAAUGCUUUUCAAGUAUGACCUUGAAAAUGAUCGACCGUCGAGUGGUUUGCAUCCUACACUACAUACUUGAUGCAAAUAACUGAGGAUAACAGUAGAUCGAUAAGGAUCUAAAAGAAUAACCAAUAAUAAUAAUAUAACAGUAAAUCAUUCAGAAUCUAGAAAAAAUAAUGUUUAGUAUGAAGCAUAGAGGCUCUCUCCAUUUAUCAUAUCUGCAUUAAAAGCCAUUUUUACCUUAAACAAAUCAAGUUUGUAUGGUAGAAGGAAGCAUGAAGACUAAGGAUAGAAAAUGAACGAUAUUUUGAUAUUGAUCUGAAAUAAAGGCAUGUGAGUCAGGUAAAGGCCAUACUAAAGGUUGAUAACAUAGAAAUAGUUCAAGUGUUAACUGUAGCCAAAACAAAAUAAUAGAAGGUUGUAUUUUGCUGAAAGGCUAGUGUGAAUGAUCUUAAAAAUUUCUAAUAAUUAAUAAUGUGGCUUUGAACGCAAUUUUCCAUUGUUGAUUCUAAACACAAUAAUCAUAUCCUUGCCUUAAGGCUAAAACAAUCAAAAGCCACCAGGUUCUGCUCAUAGAAUGCUACCAUCAACAAACCUAAAUUUGUUCAUGGUCACUGCCAUCGACUAAAUUCCAGCAAGUGUAAAUUAACCAGAAUCAUUAGAUUGAGCAUAAAAGAAAAGGAAACUGUUACUAUGAUUGAAAAUAAUUAAUAGAUUCCUAAUACUCCUUUAAAACUUACUACCUCCGUCUUUUCACCAAAAAGAAAAGGUCUGAAACAUCUUCCAUUAAGAUUCAUAACUGAAGAAAUAAACCACAUGUUCAAUCAUUAUUUGACUGAACAUAACUAUAUCAGAAACAAAUUUGUAGUGCAACUCGUCCAAUUUUUUACCAAUUGCAAAAAAUAAGUACAAUGAAACAAAAAAUUGAGUACAAUCAAUACAUUUUAGGGAAUAUGCAUUUUUGAAAGAGGAAAGGCUGCGCAAAGUAUAAAAAUAAUGGAAUAACACCAAUUGCUCAAACUUCAAAUUAACCACAAUUAAUCAACAAUAAUCCAUGAAAUCACCGGUAACAAAAUAAAAAACAUUAACAUAAAUUAAAAUAUAGGUUGUAGUUAAAUCUCAUGCUGAAGUGACAUAGCACAACAUCCUAGCAUUAAAAACAAGGUGAUAUCAAACUCUCAACACAUACUUCUAGGAAGUUGCAUUCAAACUUAGUAAGCUUAAAAGUUCCAUUAAUUAAAUCGUAAACAACCAAAAUCCAUUUGCCAUUUCCAAUACACUGCAGCAGUACUUUGUCAUCCUCAAAAGUAUAUAAAACCUUGAACAACAUAUAAGAUUUACUAGGAUCUUGCAUGUUAGAAAGAGUGAACAAUUUAGUCCAAGACUCUUGAAUUCCAUAUUCCUUCAUGACCCAAACAUCAUUACCAGAAAUUAUGCACAAGAAAUCUCUUAACACACCCAAGGUCAAGUUGGACACAUCCACUCCUUCAUCAUCAGGAGGCAAAACCUUUCGACAAAAUUCUUUCUCCAAAUCAAAAGAAACAAUAAAGAGUGCACUUUGCCGGUAUUUAUCAAUAGAUGUCAGCCAAUUAAUUGUGCCGCUCACAAAUAUUACAUACUGCUUAGUACAUACAUCACCAAAAGGACACUCCUGAAUGCUUUUCCAAAAAUUAGUACCCAAGGUAUGAACCAUCAUAUCAGUUUUGUUGACAUAAUUAAGAUUAUUAUCAAGUACGGUGUAUCCCAAAACAACAACCACCUUGUAAUUGUCCGUUGAAGAAUCAUAGCCAAAGCCAAAGCCGGAUGUGAGGUUAAUAACGUGACCGAUUGCCUUCUCAAGAAGUGGCAAUUCCUUGAAUUUUCUAAUGGAAGGGUUCCACAAUAGAACAUGAAUAGAAGAAGUUUGGUAUAAGUCGGCAAUACAAAGGAUACCGUUGCAAGAGGCAACAAUGGAAGGUAGAUAAAAACUGGUGGAAGGAAAGCUGAGAUGCAUGACGUCGGUGGUUACGUCGUCGGUGAAAACGGAGUGGAGUGUAUAUGACUUGAGAAGGAAUUUACUUCGUCCGUGGUUACGUCUUAUUCUAUGAAUGCGGCAUGUGGUUGACAUGCGAAGGUGCUUCUUGGAAAAUUUAGGAUGAGAGAUGAGAGAAUUCCAUGAAUUACAUACACAUCGAAGUUGAAGGAGGAGCUUCACUGGUAACCUACACAGAAUUUCUUCAAUGAGGUCGAAAGGAAGAAUGGGAAGUGAAUCAUCAUCGGAUGAGAAUGACGGCGGUGAUAUUAGGGUUAGCUGCUUGUUCAUGGCGGCAUAUGUUUCCUCCAUUGGAGAGAAUGAAGGUGGCGGCAGAUGUUAGGG
rnacentral:lncRNA from 1 species